AAAUUGAAGAGUUUGAUCAUGGCUCAGAUUGAACGCUGGCGGCAGGCCUAACACAUGCAAGUCGAACGGUAACAGGAAGCAGCUUGCUGCUUCGCUGACAAGUGGCGGACGGGUGAGUAAUGUCUGGGAAACUGCCUGAUGGAGGGGGAUAACUACUGGAAACGGUGGCUAAUACCGCAUAACGUCGCAAGACCAAAGAGGGGGACCUUCGGGCCUCUUGCCAUCAGAUGUGCCCAGAUGGGAUUAGCUAGUUGGUGAGGUAACGGCUCACCAAGGCGACGAUCCCUAGCUGGUCUGAGAGGAUGACCAGCCACACUGGAACUGAGACACGGUCCAGACUCC
rnacentral:rRNA from 1 species